rnacentral:lncRNA from 1 species
UUAGAGGCCACUUUCUUCAAGUCUCUAAUUUUGCAUAUGAGAAACACUAAGACUCAGCAGAUAAGGAUGGAGGCGACUCAACAUCACACUGAGACAGGUCAUCUGGGACCCAUGGUUUCUAACUUCUAGACCGAAUCUCUUUCUUUCGAAUGUCCAGAUCAUCUCUCCUUCUUCUAAAAACCAAAGAGGCCUCUGCAUGCCUCUCCCUGGAUAUGAGCCCUGCAUUUCUGAAUGCCUUGAAAGAAAAACCAGCAAGUUGGGAGGGCCGUGUCUCCUUAUCAUCUUCCAGGAAUUCAAAACCGUGAUUUCCAGUUUCCAAAUGCAACUCAAGCUCCAUCACCCUGUACAUCUUGCACGGUUUCUCCAGCAUAUCCUGAUCGCCACCUCCAGACCCUUCUGAUAGAUUCAUUACCUGAAUCUAUUUGCUAUUUCUUUAUAUGAAUGCAAGAAUGGACUAACACACUGACCAUGGAACAUAGACAGAUGUGAGAAGAUCCAGAAAAGAUGCAGCUCAAUUAAUUAGAAAGGCCUCUGGAAUGGGCACAAGCCAGAUCCUGAACUCCUGCUCUCCCUUGGCUCAACCUCAUCACAGCCAGAAAGGAUGAGAGCUCUUUAAUGAAGUGCAUACAUGUCAGUUUCCCAGGACACAAACCAAAGUAAAGAAGAAUGGAGCAUGCUCCUAUAAAGGAAAAUAAAAGGAGAUCCAUAAAGCAAAUCCAACUCAUGGACACUUACUAAACAUGCACUGUGUUCAUGUAAUGGCUCCAAGAAUCUUAGUGGACAUGGACGGAAGUACACACCUGGAGUGGACCUACAGAAGCUCAGAGUCAAAUGGCAGAAAGAUGAUAUGGGCAUUGAAUACAUUAAAUGAAAAUAAAAGUAAUAAAUCACAAGAGAAGAGAGUAACUGAGGGUGUCACUGGGCAGUACAUUAGCAAUUAAUUACCAGACACCUAUGCAGUUAAAAUGUACUGCUGGCCUUCAAAGGUGAAGGAAUCCAUGGCCUGGAAUGACCAUAAAAAAUUUAUUUUAACAAAAAGACAUGACUGUAGCCUUUUAGGGUAAAGAGAUUUUAACAUUUGAAGAGCAGAGAGACAGGUACAGCAUUGCAGGCUAGGAAAUGUGGGAGUUCAAAAUGGCAGACCAGGAGGAAGGCAAGUUGUGUUUGGGAAAAUUGACUUUAUGGUUAUUAGAAAGACCAUGUAAGCAAGCAGAGAUCAAUUGUGCUAGAAAUGUUUUUCAAAUUGAGCAUCUGGUGUGUGUUAGGCACUGCUCUCGGCACUGGGGAUACAGCUGUGAACAUGAUCAACAAGGACCCUGCAAUCAUGGAGAUUAAAUUAUAGUGAGGCAAACAGAAUAUAAAUAAAUAUACACAUUAGGUGAAAGCCAGACAGCUUCGGGUCUUAUGGAGAGAGUUACUGUUGGAGCAUGUACUAGAGAAUGACUAAAUGGUAACUAUAUGGGAUGGUCGAAGAUGACCUCAAUGAGGAAUCUCUACACUUAGAUAAGACCCAAAUAGCAAGAAUGGUUCUUGUUCUGUAUUAUAAUCAAGAGGAAGAGGAUUUCAGGCAGAGGGAAAAAUGGGAUCCAUGGGCUAAAACAGGUACUUGAAUGAUGUUUUUGAGGAAAUAAAUGAAGAUCAGGGUGGCUAGAGCAUUGUGAUGAAGGUUUACACCAGGUGCUGGCUGGUUUUUAUUCCUAGUGAGAGACAAUUGUUGCAUUUUCAGGGAUUUUGUAAGGCAAUUCAUAUAACGUUGGUAGCUUAUAAUUGACUAUGGUAGGAAUAUUCAUACCUGAGAAAUCGGCAAACACUGUGAAUCAGGACUCCCUCUUUGUCCCCAACCCUCAACUCCCAUUCAGAGAGCCUGUUUUUGAGUAUUUUCUUGCAUACCACAGAGUGAGUAUAAGAAGCAGCUGGAAUAGUAACUAGGAACCAAUCAUCUUAGGCUUUAUAAGGCAGAGAAAGGAAUUUUAAUUUUAGGUGUGUUGGGAAGCCAUUAGUGGGUCUUAUGUAGGAAAUGAAUAUGGUCUGAUUUACAUAUGUAAAGGAUAAUUCUGAGUAUGUUAUGGAACACUUUGUAAAUAGGUAAAAAGAGAAAUAGGAAAAUCAGCUAUUGCAUUAGACUCAGUUAGAAGUGGCAGUGGUUUUGCUAGGGGUUAUAUAAAAGGAAGAAAACUUAAUAAUGUUAGGCCUGACUAUAGGUAGAAUCUAUAGUUUUUACUCAUGAAUUGGAUGUAAGAAUUGAGGAGAAACGAAGAACCAAGUAAAAAUUUUGAGCUUUGGCUUGGGAAACUAGGUAUAUGGUAACGCCAAAAAGAGAGAUGUAGAGAAUUGAUGUAGGAGCAAAGCUGGGCUGGGAAAUUGAGAAAAUUAUACCUGCCUUGUUAAAGUUGAAACACCCACAUGACACUCACCUGGAAGGAUAUUCACACUUGGAUUGUUGGGGAAUAAUAAGAACUAGAGAUACAGUUUGAGGGUCACUGGCAUAGAGAUAGUAAUUAAAACCAGGAUGUCAGUUAUAUCACCUAGGGAUAAUGCAAAGAGAGAGAAAAGCAGGAGAUAAGACAGAUCGAGCAGUGGGAGAAGCCGGCAUUGAAGAAUGAAGAGGAAAACCAGGCGUGUCUAGUGCCAUGAUGCCAAGAGAAAAACCCAGCUCCGAGAAGACAGGAGUUUGUUUGCUAAUGUUAUUGAGGGAUAAAGUAAAAUACGAAGAGAGAAGUAACUUGGACUGGCGGCAAAGCGAUCACCAGUGCUCCUUCUAACUGUGGUGUCGAUAAAGUAAUGUGGACUGGAUGAAGGAGCCUCGUUGGAAUAAACUCAUAUAGGAAUGAUGAUACCGUGUUUACCUACUAAUGGGAAUGACCCUAUUGAAGAGGGAACAUCACGUAUGUUGGGGAGCGGAAAAGUCAAAGUCCUCGAAAAGGAAGCACUUUGGAAACCAAUGGCUGAAAAGUUUGCUUUCUGUGAGAAGUGUAAAUCAAAGUCAUGUUUCUGUUUCCAGCAGUAGAGGAAAGAGAGAUAAACCUGAUGGACACAAGCAGGGCCCUGGAUCCACUUUAAAGGGACAUCCAUGGAAACCAAAGAGAUAAGACUGUGCCUCGUCAAUAAAAACCCCACAUCUCUGGGACUCUGCCACCUGGGGCAUUGUUGCCCUGAAGGAAGAAGCUGAAGGGGAGAUUUAGUUCAUUUGAUUAUCAGCCAGAGAGGAGCCAUCCUUCAAGGCCUCCCAGUCUCUGGCUGCAGCAGUAACUGUAACACUUUCAGCAAGUCUGUACCUAGGCCUUGAUCUGUGUGUAACUUUGGAGGUAGUUGAGCCGUUAUUUGAAAGAAUAUUAUUUUGAGCAAAGGAAGGAGCAGUAAGAGCUUUGGCUCUCCAAUGGGGAAAAAUGUAUUCAUCCUUUCAAACCUCUCAGUUAGACUUAGGCAAAAUGCCCAAUCUGCAGAAAACAAUUGGAGAUCCCUCUGAGGUCCUACUUGGUGGAUCUUCUCUCUUAGAAGUGAAUAGACACAGGAGCACAGGGGUCUUAUGCAAUAGAUAAAAGUUCCUGCCUCUGGACACACAGCUCAACCUCCAGUCUCUGAUAGAGGGAGGACCUAUGCCUUUCCAUGUGUGCCCAGAACUCACCAGCAUCUUCCCUUGCCUGCAGAGAUCAGUUCCUACUGCUCCUUCCUUGGCUCAAAAUAUAUAUUUUUUUAAAUAAUGGCUCAAAUACCUCCAAUGCUGGUAACUAAGAAUGCCUGAAAGGGACUGUUACUGGCUCACCUUAAAAACCAAAGGUGUCAUUUUCUGAACAUUGUUUACAUAUUAUGAUUCAGUAGCAAACACACUGGUUUGGCAGUCAGACCACGAGAGUUUAGCCAUGGCUGUGUCUGCUACUAACUUGCUGUGUGACUUUUUGUACCUCUGUUCAACUCUCUGGGAUGAAUGAGUCAUCCUUUGGGUGACAUGAAGAUAACGCAGAUACUAUUCAGAUUCAUGAUUGUCUCAUCAAGUGAGGCUGCAAUGGCCUCCAAUAAUGCAGAAAGCAAUGAGACAUAUUAGAGAAUCUACACAUUCCAAAACUGUGUUUAAGGUAUUUCACAGAGGUCAUUGGUUGAGAAGUGAAUUCUAUAACAAAUCUGUGAUGUUUGACAAUUGAAAACUAGUAAAACUAUAUAGUUACUUAAAAAAAAAAAGGGAGACUGUCAAUAUACCCAUUGCUUUAAAUGUGUUCACUUUUUAAGUAAUAAAUGUAUCAAAAUUAUUUUUUUUCAUUGGCCUCUGUCAUAAAACAACAACUCAAUGAUGAAAAAAUUCCAGAAAGUUUUUAUGACAAGCUGAGCAGUGGAAACAUGAACUUGUGAAAUAUUUAACUUUAUAUAAUUUCUGAAUCU